GGUCCUGUAGUGUAGCGGUUAUCACAUGGGAUUCUGAUAUGAUAUUCUGAAAGUAUCAGGCUCUAUUCCCAUGACCCAGGUUUGAUUCCUGGCAGGACCU